UGCCCCGUCGCCCAACCGGUAGGGUGGCCGGCUGUUAACCGGACGGUUGCAGGUUCGAGUCCUGCCGGGGCAGCCU
rnacentral:tRNA from 1 species